CCUACGGGAGGCAGCAGUAAGGAAUAUUGGUCAAUGGACGCAAGUCUGAACCAGCCAUGCCGCGUGGAGGAUGAAGGUCCUCUGGAUUGUAAACUUCUUUUCUCUGGGGCGAAAACCUCCCAUUCUUGGGAGCUUGACAGUACCAGAGGAAUAAGCACCGGCUAACUCCGUGCCAGCAGCCGCGGUAAU
rnacentral:rRNA from 1 species